UACAUGGGGGUGCAAACGUUGCUCGGAAUUAUUGGGCGUAAAGCGCACGUAGGCGGUUCGUUAAGUCGGAUGUGAAAGCCCUCGGCUCAACUGAGGAAGUGCACCCGAAACUGGCGAGCUUGAGUACGAAAGAGGAUCGCGGAAUUCCCGGUGUAGAGGUGAAAUUCGUAGAUAUCGGGAGGAACACCGGUGGCGAAGGCGGCGAUCUGGGUCGGUACUGACGCUGAGACGCGAAAGCGUGGGGAGCGAACGAGG
rnacentral:rRNA from 1 species